rnacentral:lncRNA from 1 species
UUGUUUGUCUAACCACAUAAAUGUAACCCGCGACCCAAAACACUUCCUUACCCCGUUCAAAGUCAAUGUGAUGUCAUUAAGCUGUGUUAAAUUCUAAGUUUGGGGUAAACCCCAUAAGUAUCAAAAACCAAGGUGAGUAUGGAAAAAAAAUAAGAAGAAAAACAACCAUAAAAAAUUUGAUAAAACGAAAUAUAGUCGAUGGUUCGAAAGAAGAACUCACUGAAGGAAGAGCACUCAGUUGAAAAAAAUAAAAAGAAAGAAUAUCAAAGAAAAA